rnacentral:lncRNA from 1 species
CACACAUUGCGUUCGGCAGUUAAGUUCGCGUUUAGCCCAGAACCUGGGCAGGAGAGACUACGCAGGACACCCGCUGACCGUCUAACAAAGAAGAAACAAUGGCUUCUCAAGGCGCAGAGGUUUGUGGGAAAUGUAGUCUUGAAUCCGGUUGGCUCACGGUGCAGCCGUCUGGGAAGGCUCCGGGUUACAUCUGCGCAUGUGCAGGCCCUGACCCGCUGUCCUGCUCUUGAGCUCCCGGCCCAGGCGGGGCGCUGACGCUGGAGCCCUGGUUAGCUUCAGAGCAGAGACAGAAGAGCCCAGAAGGAAGCGGGUCUGCACAGCCCCAAGCAGUUCUUGAUCCUCCUGACAAGAAUGAGCCCGACUUGGUGAUCCUACUACGUUCAGAAGCCAACACACUGUGACAAUGGGGAGUUUGAGCCAUCCUUUAGAGGAGCCAGAGUAUUGCUUUAGAAAACCAGCUGUGACCUUCAAGUUGAAGGAAGGAGAAGAUCCAUGGUUAUUAGAGGAAGAACUUCUAAAUAGGAGCUCCCCAGGACAGUGGUUUUCAACAGAGGGUGAUUUCGCGCACCGUGGGACAUUUAGCAAUGUCUGGAGACAUUUUUGUUUGUCACAGCUAAGGGGGAGAUACUACUAGUAUUUCAUGAAAAACCUAGGAAUGCUGCUAAAUGUCUGGUAAUGUGCAAGACAACCACUACCACCCCCACCACACACCACCAAGAAUUACCUGCUCUAAAAUGUUAAUAAUGACAAAUUUGAGAAACUCUGCU